UCAGAAACUCAAAGGAAGUUGACGGGGGCCCGCACAAGCGGUGGAGCAUGUGGUUUAAUUCGAUGAUACGCGAGGAACCUUACCUGGGCUCAAAUGUAUGUUGACGUAUUCUGAAAGGGAUACUUCUUCGGACAAUAUACAAGGUGCUGCAUGGUUGUCGUCAGCUCGUGCCGUGAGGUGUCGGGUUAAGUCCCAUAACGAGCGCAACCCCUAUCAUUAGUUGCCAUCAGGUCAAGCUGGGGACUCUAAUGAAACUGCCUACGCAAGUAGUGAGGAAGGUGGGGAUGACGUCAAAUCAGCACGGCCCUUACGUCCAGGGCUACACACGUGCUACAAUGGCCGGUACAAAGGGUUGCCAAGCCGCGAGGUGGAGCUAAUCCCAUAAAACCGAUCGUAGUCCGGAUCGCAGUCUGCAACUCGACUGCGUGAAGUCGGAAUCGCUAGUAAUCGUGAACUCAGAAUGUCACGGUGAAUACGUUCCGGGCCUU
rnacentral:rRNA from 1 species